ACCCACAGCCAUAUCACUCUGCAGCCCAAGACCGGUUACUCACUGAAGCUAAGCAGUUGUUAGGGUUAGGGUCAGUACAUUGGAGAUCACGUGGGAAAACUAGGUUGCUGUUGGAA
rnacentral:rRNA from 1 species